AAAUUAAUUACAUGCUGGGUGAUCAAAUGUUUGUGGAUCUUGGAGGUAUUUCCCCUCUCACACUCUCACACAACAAAGGAAUGUAUUACACAAAACACCUUUCUUAAAAGUAAUGCAUAUGUAAUUGCUCCCAUGAGAAAAUAAGUAGUUACACUACUUGCCAUGUUAGUUUUGUGUUUCUCUGUAAAAGUGACAUGAAACGCACAGUCAAAUUACCAGUUAACAAUAUAAACCUUAGGCUACAGUCCUACAUACCUACAUGUAGGUACCUCUGUCAUUCUUCAGAAACAUGAACAAGUUUCAAGCCUGACCGCUCAUUACUACUUUUGUUACCUGUUGAAGUUAAGGGUCUGACUGCUGGACUGGCGUCGGCAUUUUCUAGUCUUUAAUAUCACUAUGGCUAGUAAGAGAAAAUCCUCUCUGGUGUACAAGAGUAAUUUAAGCUUUUAUAUAUAGAGGAAGAUGUAUUUUGUGGUUAUUAAAGUGAUAAACUGACAAUGAAAAUGUCUUUUUUUUUCCUACUUCAGGGUGGAAGAAAUGAACUGGAAACAAUGGAAGUCAGAUCUUGGUGUACACUGGGAAGAGGAGCCUGCUAAUGACAUGAUGGUACCACAGCCUCGUGGUAAGAUACCUGGGAAUCCAUGGAACCUAAAUAUGCUCUUGGAGAGGAUUCGUUCCAGACGUCAACAACGACAACAAUCCAAUAUUUCCUAGAUUAAUCAGGAAGAUCAAAAUCCGUGUGUGAGUGUGUGUGAUGGAAUUUUUUUUUUCCUAAAAAGAACUACAAUAUGUGUCUGUCAUUAAAGUGAACCUGUUUUGCUGUAUUCCAGUGCAUGUUUUCCUUUUAAAGUAAAUUUUCACUCACAAACUGAAAAAUGUCAUAUGUUAAGCCUUUUUCUGUUUGAAAUUCAAUGUGUCUUAUAGAUUACAAGGAUCAAAAAUCCACCAUCUCCAGUUGUUGGAAUACUUAAUUUCCUGUUUAACUAUACUGAUAUUCAAAUAGUAUAGAUAUGGCAUCUUCCAUUCUAGUUCAGCAUACACAACCAUUUGCAGACCUGACAGUUGUCCAGAUGAUAAUUGAUGCAAGUCACAGGCCGUCAUUGCAGAAAAGGCUGACUUUUCCGAAGAGCUUUGUAUGGAAGCAUGCUAAUGGAAAGUUGACUGCACUGAAAAAGCUUUGUUAGCAAAAGGUGCACAAGCAAGAUUCAUAACCACAGCCUUGAGAGCACUGAUAAGUUAAGUGAAUUCAAGAACUUGGAAGAGCAGAUGGAUUGUGAUAGUGGUACACUCGUCUUGGGUGGCAACAAAAGUAACUUUCUGUUCUAUUUAGAAAGACACAAAGAUAAAUCUGGUAUCACCUGGGAAAUGGUCAACAAGCAGAUUGGAUAACAUUUUAACUUCAAGUGAAAUAGAACUUUUUGUCAGCAAACACUGUUCUAUGUUUGUCUCAGACCAUUUCCACAUAAAUAGACACAUCAAAAUUUGUUAAAGGAGUAUAAAUAACAAAAAUAAAAAGGGGACUGUAUUUAGUGUUCAUGUUGAGGUCUUUUGCAGGGACAACCUUCACUGAAAUGUUUGUAUUUUACCAUUACAGCUUGCUAGGAUGAUAUGAGCAAAGAAUAAAAGAUGUCUCUUAGGAGGUCAUGUGAUUUAAAUCUGUGAGAGGGACACCAAAUAGCAGAACCCCUAGGAGGCCAUCGCUUCUCGGCCUUUUGGCUAAGAUCAAGUGUAGUAUCUGUUCUUAUCAGAUCUUCGAGAAUCAAAGAAAGAUGGCGAUGGCGUCGGCUAGUUUUACUGAGAGGGAUGCCAGGACAACUGGAACAAGAAAUACGUUUAGAUUUGAGCUCAUGGAGAAAGAUGCCCACUUCCACGACAGAAUAACCUUUGGACGAAGAAUUCUUUUCGACGUUUUGAAGAUACAACCG
rnacentral:lncRNA from 1 species